GGAUGAAGAACGCAGCGAAAUGCGAUAAGUAAUGUGAAUUGCAGAAUUCAGUGAAUCAUCGAAUCUUUGAACGCACAUUGCGCCCGCCAGUAUUCUGGCGGGCAUGCCUGUCUGAGCGUCAUUUCAACCCUCAAGCAACUUCUGCUUGGUGUUGGGGAUCGGCCGUUAAACGCCGCCCCCGAAAUCUAUUGGCGAUCUCGCUGUAGCUUCCUAUGCGUAGUAGUAACAUCUCGCAUCUGGAGAGCGGCGCGGUCAUGCCGUAAAACACCCAACUUCUCAGGUUGACCUCAGAUCAGGUAGGAAUACCCGCUGAACUUAAGCAUAUCAAUAAGCGGAGGA
rnacentral:misc_RNA from 1 species